UUUCCCGCCUCUGGCUAUAGGAAAUUGUUAGUGGCAGACGGGUGAGUAAUGCGUAGGAAUCUACCUAGUAGUACGGAAUAGCCAUUAGAAAUGGUGGGUAAUACUGUAUAAUCCCCGAGGGGGAAAGAUUUAUCGCUAUUAGAUGAGCCUACGUUAGAUUAGCUAGUUGGUGAGGUAAUGGCUUACCAAGGCUAUGAUCUAUAGCUGGUCUGAGAGGACGAUCAGCCACACUGGAACUGAGAUACGGUCCAGACUCCUACGGGAGGCAGCAGUGGGGAAUAUUGGACAAUGGGCGAAAGCCUGAUCCAGCUAUGCCGCGUGAGUGAAGAAGGCCUUCGGGUUGUAAAACUCUUUCAAUAGGGAAGAUAA
rnacentral:rRNA from 1 species